GAUUUGAUGUUAUUUGAAGACUUAGAGUGGUAAGAAAGUUGAAGAAAUUCUACGUAAAGAAAGUUAGGAAUCUUCAUGAGAUUCUACACUGGGUAGUGUUACUUCUCAAGUUCAGCAAGAAAAAAAUUUAAGAGAAACUACAAUUUUUAGAUGAAGUGACAUGAGGCAUGUUACUUAGUCAAUCGCAGCAAAGAGAAAAGUUAAGGGAGAUAGCAAUUUUCAUAUGAAGUCACGUGGCCCAUGUUACUUUACAAGUUUAUCCACAUAGGGUAUGUUAAAAUACAAUACUAGGUCAUGUUACCUAGCAUAUUUUUAUGCUAAUUAGAAUUAUUUUUUUACACAUCACUAUUUUUGUAUCUUUUGUAUUUAUCCCCUUUUAGCCUAUUUUAGCGUAGAUUUUUAGAGACAUA
rnacentral:misc_RNA from 1 species